UCCCGACCGCAUGUACUGGUGGGGAAAGCUCGGCGGGUGCAGGAUGACCUCGCGCCUAAUCAGCUUGUGAGUGGGGUGAUGGCCUACCAAGGCGACGACGGUAGCCGGCCCUGAGAGGGCGACCGGCCACACUGGGACUGAGACACGCCCCAGACUCCUACGGGAGCAGCCAGUGGGGAUAUUGGCACAAUGGCGAAAAGCCUGAUGCAGCGACGCCGCGUGAGAGAUGACGGCCUUCGGGUUGUAACCUCUAUCAGCAGGGAAGAAGCGCAAGUGACGGUACCUGCAGAAGAAGCACCGGCUAACUACGUGCCAGCAGCCGCGGUAAUACGUAGGGUGCGAGCGUUGUCCGGAAUUAUUGGGCGUAAAGAGCUCGUAGGCGGCUUGUCACGUCGGAUGUGAAAGCCCGGGGCUUAACCCCGGGUCUGCAUUCGAUACGGGCAGGCUAGAGUUCGGUAGGGGAGAUCGGAAUUCCUGGUGUAGCGGUGAAAUGCGCAGAUAUCAGGAGGAACACCGGUGGCGAAGGCGGAUCUCUGGGCCGAUACUGACGCUGAGGGGCGAAAGCGUGGGGAGCGAACAGGAUUAGAUACCCUGGUAGUCCACGCCGUAAACGUUGGGCACUAGGUGUGGGUACAUUCCACGUUGUCCGUCCCGCAGCUAACGCAUUAAGUGCCCCGCCUGGGGAGUACGGCCGCAAGGCUAAAACUCAAAGGAAUUGACGGGGGCCCGCACAAGCGGCGGAGCAUGUGGCUUAAUUCGACCACGCGAAGAACCUUACCAAGGCUUGACAUACACCGGAAACCUCUGGAGACAGGGGCCCCCUUGUGGUCGGUGUACAGGUGGUGCAUGGCUGUCGUCAGCUCGUGUCGUGAGAUGUUGGGUUAAGUCCCGCAACGAGCGCAACCCUUGUCCUGUGUUGCCAGCGUGCCCUUCGGGGUGACGGGGACUCACGGGAGACUGCCGGGGUCAACUCGGAGGAAGGUGGGGACGACGUCAAGUCAUCAUGCCCCUUAUGUCUUGGGCUGCACACGU
rnacentral:rRNA from 1 species